rnacentral:tRNA from 1 species
GCCUUCGUGGUGUAACGGUAGCACACUCGGCGCGUAUUCGAGAGGUCCAGGUUCGAGUCCCGGCGAAGGCA